rnacentral:rRNA from 1 species
AUUGAACGCUGGCGGCAGGCCUAACACAUGCAAGUCGAGCGAGGGGCGGACGGGUGCGUAAUGUAUGGGAAACUGCCUGAUAGAGGGGGAUCACUACUGGAAACGGUAGCUAAUACCGCAUACUAUCGGAUGAACCCAUAUGGGAUUAGCUAGUUGGUGGGGUAAAGGCUCAACUAGGCGACGAUCCCUAGCUGUUCUGAGAGGAUGAACAGCAACACUGGGACUGAGACAAGGGCCAGACUCCUACGGGAGGCAGCCGUGGGGAAUAUUGCACAAUGGGCGGAAGCCUGAUGCAGCCGUGCCGCGUGUAUGAAGAAGGCCUUAGGGUUGUAAAGUACUUUCAGCGGGGAGGCGUUACCCGCAGAAGAAGCACCGGCUAACUCCGUGCCAGCCGCCGCGGUAAUAC